rnacentral:tRNA from 1 species
GGUAGGAUGGCUGAGUAAAGCGGUAGGUUGUAGCCCUGAAGACAGAGGUUUAAUCCCUCUUCCUAUCA